CCAAUAUAUCAAAAAUAUUGUAAUUUCACAUGCAUGUCACAUAAACAUUAUCAAUGAGCCAUUUUUCAUUUUUUUUAUAACAACUCUAGCAGCCCAUCUCAAUUUGAACUAGCUUAAUAGCCACAUGGGGCUUACUGCUACUGUAUUCAACAGCACAGCUCUGGAACCCUCUUCAUUUUCCUUUCUCUCUUCCUUUUCAUUUGUCUUUCCACUGCUUACGCCCUGUGCCCCUACUUGCUCCCCUCCUCUUCCCUCUUCUGUACUAUCAGUUUCAUUCAGAAAUGCCCUCCCCAUACCUCUGCCACCUCAAUCGCACCCACCCUGCUAGGUGGGAUCAGAUACAUCUGCUAGGACAGUCUCAAGACUGGUUAAUAUUAUGAUUAAUUAACAUCCAAAUAGCCCUUAGUAAAGAAUCCUUACUUUCAUUGGCUCAUUAAUAAUGGCAUGUAAUAAGUGCCAUUAUUUCCUCUUUAUUGUUGAAGAAACAGGUUCAAUUUCAAACUAUUCAGUGGUAGAGCAAGGACUUGGAAGCAGGUGUUCUGGGUUCAGAGCUUCCCACCAUGCCACACACAUGCUGCCAUUGCAGAAAGAAACCUCCACUCGGUGGCUUCCCUCACUCCCUUCUGACGGGAAAGAAAGAAAAUUAAAUAGCAGGUCCAGUAAAUUAUAACAUGUGCUGUAAUAGGAUAGGUAGAGGGUUCUAGGAGAGCAUUUGGAAAGGGCAUUUAACCUAUCUUGGGGGAAGUCACAGGAGAUAUGGGAUUGCAGAGCAGAAUGAAGUGACCCAUACAGGGAAUAAACCUAUGACCUUGGCCUCCUAAUCUCUCUCUCCUUACAGAUUCAGCUUCUGAUGGGGUUGCUUCUGAAAAGACCCCGGUGAGGUGUUUUUCAGCCCUAGCUAUACAUUGGAAUCAACUGGCAAACUUUGAAAAAAUCACAAAGCCUAUGCCACAACCCAGAGGUUCUGAGGUGCAGCCAGAGUAUAGAACCUGUAAUCUAGGUAAUGGCUCUCACUGGAAAACAGCUGUGGCACUGGUAUAGGAGCAAUGAGGGGCUCACGCAGAACUCCCUGUGUGGGCUCACCUGGCCUUCCAAAGGCCCAGCCUGACCACUUGGGACCAAAGUGACCCUUACUAUUAAAGGCUUCUAACAUUCACAGAAAGAAAGUACGUCAAGGGUGUGUGAAAUCAUGACAGAAGCUCCUCCUCCUAGGAACUAUCACAGGAAAUUACCCUUUAUACCUAAGAAUAAAGACCGAAUAGAGAGAAGCCAGCUCUAUCCACAACCAACAGAUGGCGCUAUUGUCCAAUGCCCUGCCAUUUAGGUCUCUGCCAACCACUUACUCCUUAAUACUUGGUAAUUUGCUGCAUUUGUGCAUGAUUUUGAAAUGUUCUAGAAACAUUUUUGACUCCACAUAUCUGAGAAGUGCAAAAGUAGCAAUAAUAUUAAAAGUGUUACUUAAAAAAGGAGCAUAAUUAUGACAAAAUGAAAGUAGAACCAUUUUUAAAAUCAGAAGGCAGUGAGAAAAUAAAAUGUAAGUUUGUACAUGCAUGUGGAAUUAAUUUUUAGACAGUAGGAACAAUUCCAAAGGGCAGAGUUGAUCAUGAAUCCUGAGAAAAGUGUUGUGCCUCUGCAACUGACAAUAAAGAGCAAGAGAUACGGAAAUGAAUGAAAUGGAAAAGUUUAUAGUGUGCGGCUAGAUAAUUACAAUGCCUGAUAUGUGCUUUAUCUUCACCAUAAACUAUGCAAGUGCUCUCCUUUCUUUCAUCAUCACCCAGCCAGCCAAAAUCAACCACUGUCAAUUAGACUGUUUUUAACUUUGGAGAAGGCUGGGGGUUGUUCUAGAAUUUGGAACUAAGCAUGGUAAAAGCUCUGCUACUUAACUUCUGGAGUAAGUCAGGGACUAGUUCUGUAAUCUGAAAGACAAUCUAUACUCUCAAAUCUACGCUACUUCAAGGUGGCAAGGCAGCCCAGUCUGACACUAACCAUAACUUCUAAGGAGGUCUAUUCUCUACCACACCUGCAGAAAUGGCUGGGGAGAAGGGUUAAAUUAAUGAACUUAAAACAUCUUUGGCAAGUGACGCUAUUUCUUGGAGAAAAAAAAAGAAAAAUAAGACAUUUAACUGGUCCAUGUUAGGAAAAGAUGCUUGGUAGAAUGUAUCAGCAGGAAUAAGAGUAUGUCUGAUUUAAAGCUCUGAAAGUUUGACAUUCUGUUAUUUACUGAAAGUACACUGGGAAACUGCAAGCUCAGCCUCUCUAAGACACUUUGAAUUUAUAGUGUAUCAGUCAGGAUCCAAUUAGAGAAGUAGAAUGAAUAGGACAUAAAUAUUAAGAGAUUUAUUACAAAGAAUUGGCUUAUGUGAUUGUGGGGGAUGGCUAGGCAAGUCUGAAGUCUGUAGGGCAGGCACUCAGGAGGGCAGACUGGAACUGUCAGGCACAGGUGGAAGCUGCCAUCUGCAGGUGGAAUUUCUUCCUCUUCAGGGAAGCCUCAGCUCUGCUAUUAAGGCCUUUCAGCUGAUUAAAUUGGGCUCACCUGGAUUAUCUAGGAUACGCUCCCUUUGUUAAAGUCUACUAAUUAUAGUCUUAAAUUACAUUUAAAAAUUCCAUUCACAAUAACACCUAGAUUUGUAUUUGAUUCUGUAACCAGAGACUGUAGUCUAUCCAAGUUGACACAACAAAAAGACAAUCACAGGCUAGAUGCGGUGGCUCAUACCUGUAAUCCUACAGUUUGGGAAGCAGAGGCAGGAGGAUGGCUUGAGGCCAGGCAUUCAAGACCAGCCUGGGCAACAAAAUGAGACCCCAUUUCUACAAAAAAUUAAAAAAAAAAAAACUUAGCUGAGUAUGGUGGCAUGUGCCUGUAGUUGCAGCUACUUGGGAAGCUGAGGCAGUAGGAUUGCUUGAGCCCUGGAGUUCAAGGCUGCCGUGAGCUGUGAUCACUGCACUCCAGCUGCCUAGGUAACAGAGUAAGACACUCUUUCUAAAAAAAAAAAAAAAAGAAGAAAAUUAAGACCAUCAUAAAUAGUGUUUGGAAAUAAGACUGUUUCUGAGUAGAAGCGCUUCUAGAUUAAAAAAAAAAAAAAAAUCCCGUAUGCCCUAGGAACUGGAUUCUUUAUAUAGAAACCACAGAUGUCAUGGUCUGGGGGAUCUGGUGAUAUUCUUAUGUACAUAAACCCAUUCAUUUAUUUAGUUAUUCAACAAAUUUCAUUGCAUACUUACUAUUUGCUAGUCUCUGUAGUAAGUGCUGACACUAUAGGAACAUGAUCCUUACCCUCGAAGGCCCACAGACUAGUAGGAGAGACAGAGACACUCUGAGUUCCAAUACCUUGUGACAAAUGGUAGUUCAGUUGAGCCUCUAAACCUAGUUGUGAAAUUAAGGAAGAGGCACUUAAACAGAAUCUAGACUUAAGCCCAGGGGGAUGCAGCAUUUAGAGAUGGAGAGAAGGGGUGGAAGAAGAGUCAUCAUAGUGAUAAUCCCAGCCCCAGACCAUGCUGACCCCCACAGAGCUGGUGCUCAAGUGGUCAAACAUAUUGUAAAGGGCCAACUCAGGGAAGACUCUCCUAGGUCACUCCUACUUUAUGUGUUUUUCAGCCUUCCUGUUAAUGGUAUGUCCACAGCACCUUCAGCCUAGCCUCUAGGUCUUCAUGGAGGUGCUGCUUCAGCCAGAGGUGAGUUUGCUGCCAAAACUGAGAACCUGCACCUGCUCCAGGUGCUCAGAGCAAUGGCUUUCUCUUCCCAUCUCAGCUUGGCCAGUUCAUCUGCUUCCCUUCAGAACAUCUACCCCCUUUACCCAUGUUUUUCCUCCCUUGAUGUUUUUCCUCCCUUGACUUCCUUUCAAGUAAUCAGGCAUGUGCACUGGUCAUCUGCACUAUUCGUUAGCCUAGGAAUCUAUUCUUUUUCAAAAUGGAUUAAGCAAUGUCUUCCCUACCUCCAUCUCAGGACAGUGAGGGUAAAUGAAGCCCACUGUGAAGCUCCUUAGAACUGGUACUGCCACACAAAAGUAAAGUACAGGUUGGGUAUUGCCAUCAUCUGUCUGUCUCUAUAUCUAUCCAUCCAUCCAUGCUGUCUAAUCACUCCUAAGCUGUGUGUCACAGAAGGAUAGAAAACAUUGUUGAAUCUAUAAUACCUAGUACAGUUUCUACAGCUUCUGCACAAAGCAAUUGUUCAUUAAUUUUCUAGUGAAGACAAUGAUAAUGAGACCAUCUGAGGGUUUGGGAGACAGAUCAUUGCAAACAGCUACACCACUGAUACUAGAAUUCCUAGAAUGUCCCAUCUCCUACCUCUGGCUAAUUGCUUCUUUGAGACUCAGUUUAACACACCAUCUUUGCUAAGAAAGCCUUCUGUCCUCAGU
rnacentral:lncRNA from 10 species